GGUAGGUGAAUGUAUGAUGAAGGUAUGGUGGAGGUAUGAUGAAGGUAUGGUGGAGGUAGAUGAAUUUAUAGUGGAGGUAGGUGAAGGUAUGGUGGAGGUAGAUGAAGGUAUGGUGGAGGUAGGUGAAGGUAUGGUGGAGGUAGAUGAAGGUAUGGUGAAGGUAGAUGAAGGUAUGGUGAAGGUAGGUGAAGGUAUGGUGAAGGUAGGUGAAGAUAUGGUGAAGGUAGGUGAAGGUAUGGUGGAGGUAGGUGAAGGUAUGGUGGAGGUAGAUGAAGGUAUGGUGGAGGUAGAUGAAGGUAUGGUGAAGGUAUGAUGAAGGUAUGGUGGAGGUAGAUGAAGGUAGGUGAAGGUAUGGUGGAGGUAGAUGAAGGUAGAUGAAGGUAUGGUGAAGGUAGGUGAAGGUAGGUGAAUGUAUGAUGAAGGUAUGGUGGAGGUAUGAUGAAGGUAUGGUGGAGGUAGAUGAAUUUAUAGUGGAGGUAGGUGAAGGUAGAUGAAGGUAUGGUGAGGUAGGUGAAGGUAUGGUGAAGGUAGGCUUGCUCAGCACUUUGUGAGUGUGUGUUAUUUUGUCACAGAUGAAGUAGAAAGUCUAAUGAUCUCUCCCUUUACCCACCCCCUUUCCCUGUCUCUCUUUCCCUGUCUCUCUGUCCCUGUCUCUCCCGCUCUCUGUCUUUCUUCCUGUCUCUCUUUCCCUGUCUUUCUCCCUGUCUCUCUUUCCCUGUCUCUCUUUCCCUGUCUUUCUCCCUGUAUCUCUUUCCCUGUCUUUCUCCCUCUCUCUCUUUCCCUGUCUUUCUCCCUGUCUCUCUUUCCUGUCUUUCUCCCUGUCUCUCUUUCCCUGUCUUUCUCCCUCUCUCUUCCCUGU